CAGGGGUCUUGGCUGAAGCAGUCGGUGGCACCCAGGCCUGAGCAUCAUUUCCUGCUCCUCGCACAGAGAGGGUGGAUGCGUCACCAGUUGUAGGGUUUCCCUGUCAACUCUCGUGAAUGGUGCAGGAAAAACACCAGAAUUGCCUAGCUACAGGGCGCCGCCAUUGUGGACACCCAAAGUUGUGCGGAGAAGAAAAGUUGACAGGAGAUCUGAUUGGUCAUUAACAGAAAAUCUUUGUGAUGGAAUUUAAUAGUGAAAUAUAAGUGAUAAAAAUGACAGGUGACAUAACAGAAUAUGUAGAAAGAUACAGAAGUUAUAAGGGAAGAUCUGAGUGGAGAGGUGAUAUUUGGAUGGACAAUUUCAUUCAGUGCGGAUCUACACUAGUUGUAAACAGGCCAAAAUUUGAAGGAAAAACGCAACGGCCAGCCAUAUAUUUUUUGGUGGAAUUUUGAAGGGGAGAUGAUGAACUUUGCUGAAUGGUGACUGAUUUUUUGAAAAUUGGCUUAAUAAAUAAUUGACAGUGAUUGGAAUUUGUAUGGAAGUCUAUGGGAAAACAUUUGGUGGUGUUUGUCUAGUUAAAGUUAUACUUUCGAUAUAUCGGUAAUAGUAUCAAUGCAUGUUCUAUAAAUUCUUUUCAUUUUGAUCUUAGUAAUUCUGUUGGUGUCGUCUAAAUAAAAACUUUCUAUAGCA